rnacentral:rRNA from 1 species
GACGAACGCUGGCGGCGUGCUUAACACAUGCAAGUCGAACGGGCUUCUGGGGUUCUGGCUUUUUUGGUUGGGGUUCUGGGGGUUAGUGGCGAACGGGUGAGUAACACGUGAGUAACCUGCCCUUCACUUCUGGAUAACCGCUUGAAAGGGUGGCUAAUACGUGAUGUUUCUGGGUCUGUCGCAUGGCGGGUUCGGGAAAGAUGGCACUGUUUGGUGUUUUUGUUGGGGGAUGGGCUCGCGGCCUAUCAGCUUGUUGGUGGGGUGAUGGCCUGCCAAGGCUUGGACGGGUAGCCGGCCUGAGAGGGUGGGCGGUCACACUGGGACUGAGAUACGGCCCAGACUCGUACGGGAGGCAGCAGUGGGGAAUAUUGCAAAAUGGGCGGAAGCCUGAUGCAGGGACGUCGCGUGAGGGAUGGAGGCCUUCGGGUUGUGAACCUCUUUCGCCAGUGAGGAAGGCGUUGCACGUGUGGUGGGGUUGACGGUAGCUGGGUUAAUUGAAGCGCCGGCUAACUACGUG